UAAAAUUGAGAAUGGAAAUGGGGAAUGUGUCAAAGAGACAACAACCCGACCAAAUAAAAAACAACAGCAGAGGGUCACCAACAGGUCUUCAAUGUAGCGAGAAAUUCCCGCACCCGGAGGCGUCCUUCAGCUGGCCCCUAAACAAAUAUAUACUAGUCCAGUGAUAAUGAACGCCAUACUAAUUUCCAAAUUGUACACAAGAAACUAAAAAUUAAAAUAAUACAAGACUAACAAAGGCCAGAGGCUCCUGACUUGGGACAGGCGCAAAAAUGCGGCGGGGUUAAACAUGUUUGUGAGAUCUCAACCCUCCCCUAUACCUCUAACCAAUGUAGAAAAGUAAACGCAUAACAAUACGCACAUUAAAAUUCAGUUCAAGAGAAGUCCGAGUCUGAUGUCAGAAGAUGUAACCAAAGAAAAUAAACAAAAUAACAAUAAUACAUAAAUAACAACAGACUACUAGCAGUUAACUGACAUGCCAGCUCCAGACUUCAAUUAAACUGACUGAAAGAUUAUGAUUUCAUCAUAUGAACAUCAGGCACAAUCCUUCCCGUUAGGGGUUUAGUAUCAUACCAUCAUAGCAUAUAUGAGAAGAACAUAACCCGUGUCAUGCCAACAACUGUUUUUAGAAUAAAUGUCUUUAGUUCCGAUGCAAAGACCUUAUCAGUGACUCAAUAUUAACGCCAAAAUAUGCAAUCUUUAAUGACUUGACAACAGUAUCAUAAUUAUAUCCCUUCUUAAUAAGUCUAUUCAAAGGUUUUGUAAGUUUCUGAGGUGAAUACUGACACCUUUGUGCUUUAUAAAGAAUAUUUCCAUAAAAAAUUGGAUGUGAAAUACCUGAACGUAUUAGAAGUCUGCAUGUUGAGCUAUAUUUACGAAUGAUGUCUUUAUACCGAUGAUAAAAUUUAGUAAAUGUUUUGACUAGUUUGUGAUAUCGAAAAC
rnacentral:lncRNA from 1 species